ACGAUAUCCAAGUCUCACGAUACGAUAUUUAUUGCGAUAUCACGGGAAAGCUCACGAUAUGGAGAGGAGGUUCACGAUUAGGGAUAUAAUAAUAUACAAAUCUCCCAGUACGAUAUUUUCACGAUAUACAUCUCACGUUACGAUAUUUAUUGCGAUAUUUUGUGGAGGCAAACUAAACUGUUAACUGUUUUUCCUCUUCAAAUGCCCUCACAAGACUUAAUCCAAAGAACUCAGACUUAAAAGUGUUAGAACUGUUAUUUCUUCUUGUAGUCUGCAAAGGAUCAUGGUCUAUGUAGUUCCCUCUGUCUUUUUUUAGCUGUUGCAGCACCAUAACUCUUCAUUUAAGCAAAGAGACUUGUGAUUCGAUAUAUUGUGAUGGUCUACGAUAUUAUUGUGAGAACUCUGACACUACGAUAUCACGAUAUUUUGGUUAUUUUUACAUCCCUAUUAAAUACUAAAUACUAAUAUGCUAGUCCUAUAUUGUCCUAUUAGGGAUGCACCGAUUCAAUACUUUUAUUGGAUAUCGACGCCAAUAUUGAAAAUACUGAAGGCUGAAUGUUUCUGUCAGUAAAAAGUCCCUCUCAGACCGAUCUCGUGUUUGAUUCAACCUGACCAUGGCAGAUCUGCUGAUGGUUCUUCUGCUGUGUCUUGUGCUGCUCUGACCCAACCCAACGUUUCUCUGAAGGGAAACCAAAAGUUUUGCUUCUCAUCAAACCAUAAAACCAGUGUUUCAAUUCUCCUCAGUGUAUCUCAUUUAGAAACACGGAGAGCUGUGUGCACAAGUAAGUUUUGUUUUUAAAGAAACAGAACCAACAGUGUGAGCUGUGCUGGUAAUGAUAUGGGCUUAUCUGGAGCUGUACAACUGAGUGCAUUGUCCAUUCAUUAAGGCUGCUACAGUAUAUUGAAUCACAAGUUCCUUUGCUUAAAUGCAGGUUUUAUAGUAAUCACCAGUGUUGGGAAUAACGCGUUAUAAAAGUAACGAAUUACUGUAAUGCGUUGCUUUUGCUGUAGCACAGUAAUGUGGCAUUACAGGGAAAAAAAUCGUAAUAUUUUACUCGGUACAAAUGUCAGUAAUGCACGUUAACAAAGCUUUUUCAGCCUGGUUGAAGUGGUGGGUUUUUCUUCAUACAAAUUUACUAAAAUCACCACGAUAUCAACAGCGGUGAAACACUGAAGACGCGCCCGUGUAGACCAGCGCAGAACUCCGCUCCGACCUGGUUCAGUCCUGGUUUAGUCCUGAUUCAGCUCUGGUUUAGGCCUGGUUUAGGCCUGGUUCAGUCCUGGGUUAGUCCUGGCUCAGUUCUGGUUCAGCUCUGGUUCAGCUCUAGUUUAGUCCGGGGUUCAGUCCUGAUUUAGUCCUUGUUCAGUUCAUAUAUGGCGCAAAAGUUCAGCAUUUUCACGGUUAGAGUGAGAGUAACUUAAAAGUAAUUCAAUAGUAAUGUAAUGUUUUACAUUUUAAAUGCAGUAAUAUUAUAAUGUAACUAAUUACUCUGAAAUGACAGUAACAAGUCAUAAAUAGCACAUUAAAGUUUUGAAGUAACUUGCCCAACAGUGGUAAUAACAUCUUAUAAACAUUGGGAGCUACAUUUCCCAUGAUUCAUUUCAGCACAGACAGCAUGAAGAGAUGUGUUUUUACCUGAAUUCUUUGGAUUAUGACAGUAAUAAUUCACACCAAAAUCUUGUCAAGGUAUUUUAAACGCAAAAAAGAGCCCCAUCUACAAUUACAUCAGGCCUCUUCAAACCGUACCGUGUUACAUCCCUACCAGUCAUACCAGCCAAUGUGGGUGAAGUGCCUUGCUUAAGGGAAGGUUGACAGUUUUGACACUGCUGUCUCCCAUCCAACUACUAACCAGGCCCAGUCCUCCUAAACUUCAGAGACUUUGAUACAAGUUUUAGCACUGAAUAGAAGUGACCUCAGAAUAAGACCUCCAUUGAAACACCGGGACAUUUUUAACACCACUGUCAUGAUUAUAUCUGGUCUUCCUCUUUCCUCUUUACUCAGAAAUAGUCCUUUGUUCCACUUCCAGGUCUUUGUUCCCCAAGGUCAUGAACACUCCUCUGACGCUUUAGCAGCCGUUUCCGUUGUUAUGAAUUGUAUUUAUUUUGUCAUCCACAGAGAUGUUUGAAGAGAACCUUAUGGACCCAAACCAAAACUCCGGGAAAGGACUUGUACCCAGACCCAAACGCUCUACCGGAAAAACAGGAUUUACUCUGGAUCCAAACGCUGGGUCCGCCUCCGAAGAAAUCCGGACUGACAGUAGCUUAAAGUCUACAUAUUUGAACUGUCUUCACCACCAAAGCCCCAUGCAGAACACAUGCCAUGAAAGAGCUGCCCAUAUGAGGUUUAUAUUUCUAUUUUGGUUAUCUGACUGGUUAAAGUCUGUGUUACUGAGCACCUGCCAUCAGCUCCUGUCAAACUGCUCUGUUAAUGUAUUAUACAAGCUUGUAGAGGUAUUUAUGCUCAUGGGUUACAGUCACGUGACGUCAGCACAAGAGUCUCUAGAGAUGAACCUGAGCUGGAGACAGGUGAGAGUGGAGAGAGGUGGAGGACUUUAAUCUGUGUAUCAUUUGUUCAUUCAUUUUUCAAUAUAAAACCAAAAAUAAGAAAAUGAAAAAACAACAGUUUUCUUCAUUAUUUGUCUCCAAAACCAAAAUGAAAAAAGUGUAUAAUUCUUUUUUUAAAUUUUCGAUUUUGUGUUUAAAUGAAGAAUGGAAAAAAAAUAUAACGACCGUUUCCCGUUUAUAUGACUCCUGUGACUGCGAUGCCAGAUUUUGCACUGCAUACGGACUGAACCAGGACUGAUCCAGGUCUGGGACCAGAGCAGACCGAGCUUUGACUCCAAGCCUCCGCGGGGUCCAAGCCUCAGCUUCAAGCUCCGGCCCUGCUGUGGGCUCUGAGCCUCCUGUCUGGUCCUGGUCCCAGUCCCGGUCUCAGUCUGGGUCUCAGUCUGGGUCUCAGUCUGGGUCUCAGUCUGGGUCUCAGUCUGGGUCUCAGUCUCGGUCUCAGUCUGGGUCUCAGUCUCGGUCUGGUCCCGGUCUCAGUCCCGCUCACGUUAUCAGUUUUUUUCCAUUUUUCAUUUAAACACAAAAUCAAAAACUUAAAAAAGAAUCAUUAUCCAUUUUUUCAUUUUGGUUUUGGAGACAAAUAAUGAAGAAAACUGUAGUUUUUUUUGUUGUUGUUUUUUUUGGUUUUAUAUUGAGAAAUGAAUGAAGAAAUGAUACAUGGAUUGACUUUGAGACAGUGUGGUGCGGUGAAGAGGUGUUUGUGUUCGGUGAGGGAGGGGCAGUUGAUUUUGCAUCUUUAGGGGGGUUGGGAGAUUGAGUAUUGUUUUUUUAUUGUCUUUGGUGUUUUGUAGGAUUUUCAGUCAUAAGUGAUAUAAUAAAUGUAUUGUUAAAAGUCAAAAUUCAGGUGAGAGUGUCAGAUGGAGUUUGCAGUGAAAUUGUCAGAUGCAAAUGUGUUGAUUUGUGUUUUAUGGUUCAUAUCUUUGUAAUUCCUGGGCCUAUCCACAUGAAACAAAAACUGGCACAAAGUUCAGCGUCUUCUCUGUCACGAGAAAUAAUUCAACCCCAAAGACAUGAUUGUUUCAGGUGAAAGGACUUAAGGACCAUAAGAUUAAAAUGACAAGUUUCUGGAGCUGAUCAGACACAAAUAAUGAGAAGGAGAAACAUUAGUGGAAUUUUUGAUCCACAGAUUAGUCAAGUGACAACAAUCACAUCUUUGGGGUUGAAUAAUUGAACCAUAACUGGAGCUAUUAUGAAAAAAAAAAAAUCACUUUUGUUUAGAUGGUGAACUUUGUGCCACUUUUGUUUCUCGUGGAUAAGCUCAAUUACAAAGAUAUGAACCAUAAACCAUAAAUCAACACAUCUGCAUCUGACAGUUUCACAGGAAACUCCACCUGUCUCCAGCUCAGGUUUCCACAGAUCUAGUUUGUUGUAAUGUCACAAGAAUGCAACCUAAAACUUAAAAGAAGCAUCUAUCUGUUAUAUCUGCUAUAUUCAGAGUGACAACACGAAACACUGAAUCAUUUGAAUGGUGAUAGUGUGGACUUGAAAAACACAGAGGAGGCCUUGGACGUGUUCUCAUUUUAGACCACUUAAAACGAGGUCAAAACCAAGGACCAAACCAAGGACCAAACCAGAACUGGACCAGAAAUGAAACUCAGAACUAAACUAGGAAUACACUAGAACUAAGUGAGGUAAACCAGGGUCUAAACCGGGUCUAAACCGGGUCUAAACUGUGGUCUAAACUGUGGUCUAAACUGUGGUCUAAACUGGGUCUAAACCUGGUCUAAACCGGGUCUAAACCGGGUCUAAACCGGGUCUAAACCGGGUCUAAACUAGGGUCUAAACCGGGUCUAAACCGGGUCUAAACUGGGUCUAAACCGGGUCUAAACUAGGGUCUAAACCAGAGUCUAACCGGGUCUAAACCGGGUCUAAACCGGGUCUAAACCAGGGUCUAAACCGGGUUUAAAUGAAGGACCAAAUCAAAAGUAAACCAGGGACUAAAUCUACUCUUGUUGAUUCCCAGAGGUGGUUAGUAGUAACUUGCACAAUACUUCUACAGUACUUCUUGUAGUACUUCUACAUUACUUCUUGACCUGAAGUUUAAUAUUUUUCCCGUGAUAAUACUUUCCCUUCAGUUAGCGCUGAAAGCUUAGACUGUGUGUGUACAGUCUAUGGGUGAGACUUUGUGAAAAAUAUUCUUACUUUUUGUUGUGGUCUUUUAUGAAAGUACCACAGUGAUGGCACAGGUGUAUGUUUAGAUUUAUUUUAUACUAAAACAUACACAUGACUUAUUUCAACAGUUACUCAGUCCUUGAGUAUGUGUUUUUUUUCCUGACAUUUUCUAUUUGUCUCCUUCUGUUUGGCAAAAGGAGGUUGAGUUCUGUCCAAAUGAAGGAUCUCUUUGACAGACCAUAGAACAACACACAGCUCUGUCAAAAAGAACCUUUAUCUGGACAGAAGAGUGGAGGACCUAAAUGAUUUAAGGUUCAUGUGUGAAUUGUGCACAGGUUAGUUGGAUGAGUUGACAGAAUUCAGCUUUGUCUCUUUAUAUUUGAGUAGUAUUGUCUAUAGUAGUUCUGCUCUACCUCCUCUGUAAAAGCACGUUGUAGAUCACUGGUCCCGUUUUAACAUCUGGUUUCAACUUCUGUGGAAAUGAACUUUAAUAUGUAAUACAAAACAACUCAUGUAUACCUGGUUAAAGCCACAGUAUGUAACUUUCUGGAGGUGGUACGGCGCCUGCAUGGUUCCAGGAGAAAGCACUCCUCCAAAAGAAAUGAGUCAUGAGUCGUGUGUGUGGAGAUUCAAGGGCACAGUGUGAGGGUGCAUGUGCAUUUUUUAUGUUUUUCAGUGCAAAAAAAACAUGCUUUUAUUUUAAUCUAUUUUUUUUUUAAUCAUGUUACAUACUGUGGUUUUAAGAAAAAGACAAAAAAGCAAAAGCACGUUAAAAUGCACUUUAAUACUUUAUGUAUAGACUUGAAAUGUAGCAAAACCUCAACAUACUCCUUACUGUUACUGUGAUUAAAACUGUUAUUUGAUGAUCUGAAUAUUCAGGUGGGAGUGACAUCAUUCACUUUUUUAUUGGUUUAAAGACAAAAGUCUACUGUCCAUGUGUCCCUGAGCAAGACACUGACACAGUAUGGACAGGAAGGGCAUCUGGCACAAAAACAUACAGGUUCAUAAUAGACAAAUAAGACAAAGGAGAACAUCAGGAUUUGAGCUGAGACUUCAGUACAGUGUGACAGGAGCCGACAGGUGCAAGUGCUCACAGAUACAGACUUUAACCCGACCGGAGAUCAAUGCAACAAAACUGUAAAAUGAAAAUGAAAUGCAACAAAAUGAACAUUUGACCAAGAAUGAAUGUGACUCAUGUGCACUAGAACGAAUGGAUUUGUGAUCGAACCAUGAUGGACUCGUGUUUCAAUCAGAUUAUUCUGGAGAAGCAGGACCAAACCAGGACCAAACCAGGACCAAACCAGGACCAAACCAGGACCAAACCAGGACCAAACCAGGACCAAACCAGGACCAAACCAGGACCAAACCAGGACCAAACCAGGACUAAAUCAACACCGAACCUGGAACAAACCCGGAGUAAAUCAACACCAAGCCAGGACCAAACCAGGACUAAACCUGUAUCAUCUUAGGUGUAAAUCAGGACACACACACAGUAGCAGUAGUAGUAGCAGUAGUAUUAGCAGUUACUGAAGUAAAUUCAGUAUGUGACACUGAAGUAGUUUUAAAUGUGGAAUAUUUCAUUUUAUUUUGUUUUUGUUAUAAUGAGGUGAAAUUUGUGUUCAUAUUUUUAACAACUUUAGUGUCAGUACUCUAUUGAGCUCCUACAACUGCCACUAUUACUAUUACUAUUACUAUUACUACUACUACUACUACUAUUACUAUUUCUAUUUCUAUUACUACUAUUACUACUAUUAUUACUAUUAUACUACUAUUACUACUACUACUACUAUUACUAUUACUAUUACUUACUACUUACUACUACUACUCUGAAUGAGGUUCUCUGACACCUGUUGAAUAAGACCCAAAUGAUUUGAUGUACAUUAGAUCAUGGUCUGACUCUGCACUGUACUUGUACUUCAAGUACGACUAAACACUUAAACUCCUCCCAAUAAGGAGCAGAGUAAUUGGUUUAACAGGUUUCCACACUUCAAAGUGUGUCCCUGCAAACAUCUGUCUGUCCUGAGUGAUGUCACAUAGUACAUGAAAUUGCAGAGAGAAAAUGUUAUUCAAACACUGUGAAUUAAAAACGUUUCAUUUGGUGUUUAGUUCCACUUGAAUGUUCUCAGUUCAAGUGUAAAGAUUGAAAAUAGCAGGAAAAUUUUCAUUUUCUAAUUUGAGAAAAACAAGUAAGAAAAACACAACCACUGUUCAAAAUGUAUACUCUAGAACUAUAUUAUAUUAUAACUCAUAUGAAUUUAAAUAUAACUAAAGUGGACUGUCCAGAGUUUGGUGCAGUGCAUUUAUAGACAGUGGUGUGGUGAACUAGAAUCUUUUUACAAGAGUACAGGAGAGUGUUCACUUUCAACUGUCAACAUUUGAAAAACUAUUUAAAGCACAACUAUGUAACUUUCAGCAACAGAGCUCCCCCUGCAGCUCCAUUAUGAGAAUACACUGUCAGGGAUUAGACUUCUUUUCUUUUCUCCUCUCUCUCUCUCUUUUAAUUGAACUAGGCAGUCCUUUUUUAUAUUCUUUUUAAAUAACGUUGCAAAGUCAUUCUCUAUUCCUUUUAUCGAAAGUCUGCUUACUUUUUCUUUCACUUGCUACUUUCAAUCCCUGUUCUUGAAAGAUAAAAACUAACUGUAGACCAGACUAUAGAGACAUUAUUUAUUUAAAAUGUUGGUGUUGUUGUUGUUCUGGAUUUAAUGUUUAAGCAUUAAUUAUGUUAUUAAACAUUUAUUUUAAUAAGGAAAAGUGUAACAUUACAUGUCUCAAAAGAAGAGAAAACAUGCAGAUGGUGUUGAAAUGUUUUAAUAAAUAUUUAGUUUGGCCCACAACUUAGUCCCAAUUUAGAAUUUUGGCCUCUGUGAAUUUGAGUUUGACACCUCUGCUUCAGAACAUUGUUAAAACCUGCUCAAAAAUCUCAGGGGUCACACUGAGAGAGCUGCGUUCUCUGUGAGAAGAGCAAGUGCUGAGCAAAGCGAAGUGUGUCAUGACUUUAUCAUGAUGCUUCCAAGCCUCAGUUUUAUGCUCUGUUACAAAAGACAAACCACCUCUCAGAUUAUUUUGUGUGCUCUGCUAUAAAAUUGCUUAAUGCUGAGGGUAGUGUUUUUGAAGUUUUGCAAUGUAAUACACAUAUUUUAUAUUGAAUUCCACUUGUGGACUGUAGCAGACUAACAGCUGUGUGUGUUUGUGUGUUUGUGUACAUGUGAGAUGUGACAUCUGCGCUGAGAUACUGCAAAUGAAGUGCCCUCUGUGAUCAAGAACGUUUUCUGAAUCUGAAUCUGAAUCAAAAAAAGGAGUAGUCUCUGUGAGUGGUGACAGAGAAAGACCCAACAAACAGGUUUAACAAAGACCAAGUCAAAUGUUACACAGUUCUGCUUUAAACUAUUGAUGAUGUCACACAUAAGUUAGUGUGUUCUGUGACCAGCAGAGGGCGUACCUGGUGUAGGCUUGUUUUUACUCUUCAUCACUAGUUUGUAAGGUUAGUGUUAGUAUUAGUGUUAGUAUUAGUGUAUACCCACAAACUAGUGCACUUAUAAACCUGGUGAUCUUUUGGCUCUUCAUGGAUGUUUCUUCCUAACAGCAGCUCAUUUGUUUACCUGUUUCCCCGUUGCUAUGGUGAUGCUCACAGUGUAGUGAUGUAGAAUAGAGUUAACUCUUGCUGAAUAGUGCCCAGUUGUUCAAAAGUAAUGCACGACAGACAUUUUUAUUUAGUUAGUUUAUUUAUGAGACAGGAACAGCGCACAAUAGACAUAACAUAACCUUAACAGGAGAGAUUCACUGUACCAGGCUCUAGCACGAGAGCUAAUCCAUGUUGGACUGGUCUCUGUAUACUCUGAGCUUUUGAAUGCUUUUUAUGACACGCCUUUGUGACAUUGCACUUCAACUUUGUUAAGCUGAUUAAUAAAAACAAUUAAUCAUUAAAAAAAUAAUAAUGAUAAAAACAAA